UCGCGCGCGCUCACUCACCGUGAUUAGGGUUUUGUGGAAAAACAGAUUUCAAUUAUUACACCUGUUGCUGCUCGGUCACCGAACACCCCUUCCAAGUUUUCCAACUUCUUGGCUUUAUAGCUCUUUUUUUUAUGCAUUUUCAUAAGUUACAUGGAGCGUGCUUCCUGCUACGCAGCAAUGUACUCAGCAAAAUCGUUCCUUAAUGAAUGAAAAACAGUAAAAGACUUGGAAGGCAAAAGUACACUUUAUUUAAGUAGACAAGCUGUCAAAUAAAUGUUUUUCCGACAUAUAGAAAUCUUUGUAUAUAACUUAUGGGUUCACUUUUAUAAUCCUGAUUUUAAAGCUGCUUUCUUUAAGUGCAAUGUACAUCAGUGCGCUACUCCGUGGCCUUUCGCAGAUGGAGUGGCGAUAGAGUGAGCGGAACUCCCCCUAGAUGGCCCCGCGAUAGUCCAUUCAGCUGGUAAUCACAGGCUCUCGAGUUACCACUCGCCAUUUAAGGUGUGAUCGCACUAGGAUGGGCCAUGAAUCGACAUCUACUUCGACUUCGACUUCGACUUCAACUUCGAUUCUACUUCCACUUCCACGGAGACUUUAACUUUAGCUUCAGCUUCAACUUCAACCGGUAGCCCAGGUCCCUCCAUUGGCCUCAACCUCAACACGUUUACGCAUCAAUGCCGAUGAUGACUCCUCGAGAGUCGGACUUGUGUGGAAAUUGAUUUCAGAUUUUUAUUGUUUUAGAGCGCUUCAUAUCUCACGUCAUCGCGGGGAGUGGAGCCCGCUUAUUGAUACAGCCAUUGGCCAAUAAUAGAGUUGUUAUUGCACUUUAAUUGAAGUUAUGUCUGUGGCGCCAUCGACAGAUCCUAACACCUGGCUGCAAGUCUCGUGAAUUCUCUGGGAAUGAGUAAUAUUUGUAUGCCCGGUUUUUCAUUAUAUAACAUGAAUUGGGAUUCACAGACUCUUGAUUAUUUUGCUUAAUUUAAAGGCUUUAAUGCUUAAGGGCUGAAAUAAUAAACAAGUGCUAGAGGUAAGCAGUUUA